rnacentral:rRNA from 1 species
AGCAGCCGCGGUAAUUCCAGCUCCAAUAGCGUAUAUUAAAGUUGUUGCAGUUAAAAAGCUCGUAGUUGAAUUUCGGAAUCUGUCCAUCGGUCGGGCUUCACUGUCCGCACUGGUGUGGUGGGUUCUUACCUUCUGAAUAACCAGCAUGCCAUUCACUUGGUGCGUUGGGGAAGCAGGACUAUUACCUUGAAAAAUUAGAGUGCUCAAAGCAGGCUAGCGCCUGAAUACAUUAGCAUGGAAUAAUAAAAUAGGACGGCAUGGUUCUAUUUUGUUGGUUUCUAGGAUCACCGUAAUGAUUAAUAGGGAUAGUUGGGGGCAUUAGUAUUCAAUUGUCAGAGGUGAAAUUCUUGGAUUUAUUGAAGACUAACUUCUGCGAAAGCAUUUGCCAAGGAUGUUUUCAUUAAUCAAGAACGAAAGUUAGGGGAUCGAAGACGAUCAGAUACCGUCGUAGUCCUAACCAUAAACUAUGCCGACUAGGGAUCGGACGAUGUUAAUUUUAAUGUACUCGUUC